rnacentral:rRNA from 1 species
AUGAGUAGCACUCCUGUGCCAGGAGGCGCAACACAUGAUGUUGUUCCAACCAUCAGCCUAGAGUAUGUCCUGGAGCGCAGUGCUGAAGAGAACAGAGCUAGCUAUUUGCCCAGAAGGAUGGCCACUUUCGAUGAACACUUGGAGCACACCCACCAACAACGCAGGGGGACAGGUGAUGAGGCGAUUGCUAAUGACGGAGGUGUGCUGCUGUUGGGACGGCACGCUACACACCAUGCAGCAUUAGCACGGAAUGUGAUCCCCUCAGUCCGUGAACGAGGAGAGAGCUCAGCUGGUCCAAUGCAUCAUCAACCAAGAAGAUGGGACGAUGGGGUGCAAGCAAUGAAUGCUGAACUUAACAGAGGCCAAGAUCCCCCAAACGUUAGAAUUCAGUGGGGUGAAAGAUUCCCAAGGCACGUCGGCUUGUCACAUGACGAGCCACCCCCACAAUCUGUCCUGCGCUUCUAUGAUGAAAUGUUGACAGGGAGCGACAUGAAUCUUUCAAGGAAGUGGUUCCGUCACUUUGUGUUCCGUGUUGCGGUGAUGUCUGGGCACGACAUACAACAAGAAUUCAGGCAUGGGGGCAAGAUAAGCCGUGUGGGAUGGAGGUGCAUCUACAAGAUGCUCUCAGAGAAGGAGCGCAGGAUGUACAAGGACUGGCUGGACCGAUGGAGGGUUUUCUUCGACCCAGUGUUUGCGGAUGAGCUCCUGAACCAUGAGUUCGACAUUGAUCUGGACCUGAUAAGGGAGAUGCUAAGCCAAAAUCAUGUAGGGUGCAGAGCUGACUGGGCAAAAAUGUUUAUGUUCCCUGUGUGGCUUGCACGUACCUGGUCUCUCUAUGUGCUUGACAUAGAUCAUAAGAAAAUCUUGGUGAUGGACCCUAUGGAGACCAUGAGCGGUAACAUGAAGCUGAAGCAUGAGGAGAGUGCGAAAUUGUUUCUUAAAGGGUUCUGCUGGUGUGUAAACAAUAUCUACCAUGGCGGUUUGGUUGGAUCCCUUGGUUGGACCUUCAGUUACAAGACUGGAAUGCAUCCUCCAUGCUCGAGGGAAAACAGUGGGAUAUACAUAGUGCACUACCUCAGGGAUUACAACGGCCUUUACAUCCGUACACUGACUAAUGGAGAGCUGGAGUACUUGAGGAAGAAGCUGGCCUACGAGAUAGUUGCGAUGAGAGGCAACAAGGGUGACUUCCCCGACUUCAUGUACCUGGAGAUCCUUGAGUGA